GGCGAACCGAGCGAACGUUGUUCGGAAUCACUGGGCUUAAAGGGCGCGUAGGCGGGCUGUCAAGUCUGGGGUGAAAUCCCGCGGCUCAACCGUGGAACUGCCUCAGAUACUGACGGUCUCGAGGGAGGUAGGGGCGAGCGGAACUGAUGGUGGAGCGGUGAAAUGCGUUGAUAUCAUCAGGAACUCCGGUGGCGAAGGCGGCUCGCUGGACCUCUUCUGACGCUGAGGCGCGAAAGCCAGGGGAGCAAACGGG
rnacentral:rRNA from 1 species